rnacentral:rRNA from 1 species
UACAGAGGUCUCAAGCGUUGUUCGGAUUCAUUGGGCGUAAAGGGUGCGUAGGCGGCGCGGUAAGUCGGGUGUGAAAUCUUGGAGCUUAACUCCGAAACUGCAUUCGAUACUGCCGUGCUUGAGGACUGGAGAGGAGACUGGAAUUUACGGUGUAGCUGGUGAAAUGCGUAGAUAUCAGGAGGAACACCGGUGGCGAAGGCGGGUCUCUGGGCAGUGAACUGACGCUGGAGGAGCGAAAGCGUGGGGAGCGAACAGG